GAAACACUCACAUAGUCAUGGACCAUCACGAUCUCAUGUGCCCCUGGAGCCAGCUAAUGCUCCACCGUCCUCAAUCCCGUGAUCACACAAUCAUCCUCACAAUCCGAAUCGAUCAUCAUCCCAUACCCUAUCUACACAUCCUCCCGGAUAAUCCGCUCUGACAUAGCAAUUAUCCAUGCAAGACCAGAAUAAGCAACUGUAUCGCUCGAUCCAAUCUUCGACAUAACUCGGGAAUACUCGGCCACAUCCCUCCUCACCCACCUACCCAUGACUCUCUCACGAACGUUAUAUCGCCUGGACGGCAGACCCAAGGACCCUCCCUCAUCCUCCACAGACUCCCUACCACGAGAUCUCUUUAGCGGCAUACUAUAAUACAAACAAAAAGGUUUAGACACGAAAAUAUAAGCAAAAGGGUAAGCCACCUA
rnacentral:sRNA from 1 species